CUUGGUCAUUUAGAGGAAGUAAAAGUCGUAACAAGGUUUCCGUAGGUGAACCUGCGGAAGGAUCAUUAUCGAACUGGGGAAGGCUGUCGCUGGCUCUCUCGAGCAUGUGCACGUCUUUUCGUCUCACACACCUGUGCACCCAUUGUAGGCCCUCGAAAGAGGAUCUACGUAUUUCAUACAACACCCACUUAGCAUGUCCAUAGAAUGUAAUCAUAGGAUCGUCCUACGGGGCGGUAUCUACGAAAUCAUACAACUUUCAGCAACGGAUCUCUUGGCUCUCGCAUCGAUGAAGAACGCAGCGAAUUGCGAUAAGUAAUGUGAAUUGCAGAUUUUCAGUGAAUCAUCGAAUCUUUGAACGCACCUUGCGCUCCUCGGUAUUCCGAGGAGCAUGCCUGUUUGAGUGUCAUCGAAUUCUCAACCAUGCCCCUUUGUCAAAAGGACAUGGCUUGGACUUUGGGAGCCUUGCUGGCCUUUUUGGUCAGCUCUCCUGAAAUGCAUUAGCGAUGGGUGGGCAAGUCUUCAUUAGAGACGUGCACGGCCUUCGACGUGAUAAUGAUCGUCGUGGCUGGAGCGUCUUUAUUCUUGCGAUCCGUCCUCGCUCACAAUCUCUGCUAGCCUUGGGUUAGCUUUUGGCUAUUAGUUCGGUCACGAGACCUGACGAACGUCAGAGGUGCACCCCCAAGGACUGGUCGAUUUCGAAACUGACCUCAAAC
rnacentral:rRNA from 1 species